UACGUAGGGGGCAAGCGUUGUCCGGAUUUAUUGGGCGUAAAGGGCGCGUAGGCGGCUUGGCAAGUGGAAGGUGAAAUCCCUCGGCUUAACCGAGGAACUGCCCUCCAAACUGCUUCGCUUGAGACCAGGAGAGGUGAGUGGAAUUCCCAGUGUAGCGGUGAAAUGCGUGGAUAUUGGGAGGAACACCAGUGGCGAAGGCGGCUCACUGGACUGGUACUGACGCUGAUGCGCGAAAGCGUGGGGAGCAAACGGG
rnacentral:rRNA from 1 species